rnacentral:rRNA from 1 species
AUACCGCAUACGCCCUACGGGGGAAAGCGGGGGAUUCGCAAGGACCUCGCGUUAUUGGAGUGGCCUAGGCCUGAUUAGCUAGUUGGUGAGGUAAAGGCUCACCAAGGCGACGAUCAGUAGCUGGUCUGAGAGGAUGAUCAGCCACACUGGAACUGAGACACGGUCCAGACUCCUACGGGAGGCAGCAGUGGGGAAUUUUGGACAAUGGGGGAAACCCUGAUCCAGCCAUUCCGCGUGAGUGAAGAAGGCCUUCGGGUUGUAAAGCUCUUUCAGGAGGGAAGAAACGGUUGCAGCUAAUACCUGCGACUAAUGACGGUACCUUCAGAAGAAGCACCGGCUAACUACGUGCCAGCAGCCGCGGUAAUACGUAGGGUGCGAGCGUUAAUCGGAAUUACUGGGCGUAAAGCGUGCGCAGGCGGUUUUGUAAGUCAGAUGUGAAAGCCCCGGGCUCAACCUGGGAACUGCGUUUGAAACUACAAGGCUAGAGUGUAGCAGAGGGG